AUAAGGAAGAUAAUGAUAAGGAAGAUAAGAAGAUAUAGAUAAGGAAGAUAAAGAUAAGGAUAAGUUUCCUUAUCCUUAUCUUUAUCUUCCUUAUCUUUAUCCUCUUAUCUUCCUUAUCCUUAUCUUCCUUAUC
rnacentral:miRNA from 1 species